UACGUAGGGCGCAAGCGUUGUCCGGAAUUAUUGGGCGUAAAGAGCUCGUAGGCGGUUUGUCGCGUCUGCUGUGAAAACCUAAGGCUCAACCUUGGGCUUGCAGUGGGUACGGGCAGACUAGAGUGCGGUAGGGGAGACUGGAAUUCCUGGUGUAGCGGUGAAAUGCGCAGAUAUCAGGAGGAACACCGGUGGCGAAGGCGGGUCUCUGGGCCGUAACUGACGCUGAGGAGCGAAAGCGUGGGGAGCGAACAGG
rnacentral:rRNA from 1 species